rnacentral:rRNA from 1 species
GACGAACGCUGGCGGCGUGCCUAAUACAUGCCAGUUGAGCGAUGAAGCUUGGUGCUUGCACCAAUUUGAAGAGCAGCGAACGGGUGAGUAACGCGUGGGGAAUCUGCCUUUGAGCGGGGGACAACAUUUGGAAACGAAUGCUAAUACCGCAUAACAACUUUAACCAUAAGUUUUAAGUUUGAAAGAUGCAAUUGCAUCACUCAAAGAUGAUCCCGCGUUGUAUUAGCUAGUUUGUGAGGUAAAGGCUCAACAAGGCGAUGAUACAUAGCCGAACUGAGAGGGUGAUCGGCCACAUUGGGACUGAGACACGGCCCAAGACCCUACGGGGAGCCGCAGGAGGGAAUCUUCGGGCAUGGACGAAAGGCUGGCCGAGCAACGCCGCGUGAGGGAAGAAGGGUUUCGGGUCGGAAAACUCUGUUGAUAGGGAAGAAACAUGGUGGGAGUGGAAAGCGCAUCAAGUGACGGUAACUAACCAGAAAGGGACGGCUAACUACGUG